GUCGAACGCUGGCGGCGUGCCUAAUACAUGCAAGUCGGACGAGUGGCGAACGGGUGAGUAACGCCUGGUAACCUACCUAUUAGAGGGGGGUAAAUACUGGAUACGGUAGCUUAUACCCUAUAGCAUCCGUUGUGCCCAAAUGGGAAUAGCUAGUAGGUGGGGUAAAGGCUCACCUAGGCGACGAUCCCUAGCUGGUCUGAGAGGAUGACCAGCCACACUGGAACUGAGACACGGUCCAGACUCCUACGGGAGGCAGCAGUGGGGAAUAUUGCACAAUGGGCGCAAGCCUGAUGCAGCCAUGCCGCGUGUAUGAAGAAGGCCUUCGGGUUGUAAAGUACUUUCAGUGGGGAGGCGUUACCCGCAGAAGAAGCACCGGCUAACUCCGUGCCAGCCGCCGCGGUAAUUC
rnacentral:rRNA from 1 species